UGGGGAAUAUUGCACAAUGGGCGCAAGCCUGAUGCAGCCAUGCCGCGUGUAUGAAGAAGGCCUUCGGGUUGUAAAGUACUUUCAGCGGGGAGGAAGGGAGUAAAGUUAAUACCUUUGCUCAUUGACGUUACCCGCAGAAGAAGCACCGGCUAACUCCGUGCCAGCAGCCGCGGUAAUACGGAGGGUGCAAGCGUUAAUCGGAAUUACUGGGCGUAAAGCGCACGCAGGCGGUUUGUUAAGUCAGAUGUGAAAUCCUCGGGCUCAACCUGGGAACUGCAUCUGAUACUGGCAAGCUUGAGUCUCGUAGAGGGGGGUAGAAUUCCAGGUGUAGCGGUGAAAUGCGUAGAGAUCUGGAGGAAUACCGGUGGCGAAGGCGGCCCCCUGGACGAAGACUAACGCUCAGGUGCGAAAGCGUGGGGAGCAAACAGG
rnacentral:rRNA from 1 species